CCUACGGGGUGCAGCAGUGAGGAAUAUUGGUCAAUGGGCGCGAGACUGAACCAGCCAAGUCGCGUGAAGGAUGACUGCACUACGGGUUGUAAACUUCUUUUAUCAAGGAAUAAAGAGAGGCACGCGUGCCUUUUUGUAUGUACCUUAUGAAUAAGCAUCGGCUAACUCCGUGCCAGCAGCCGCGGUAAUACGGAGGAUCCGAGCGUUAUCCGGAUUUAUUGGGUUUAAAGGGUGCGUAGAUGGGUUGUUAAGUCAGUUGUGAAAGUUUGCGGCUCAACCGUGAAAUUGCAAUUGAUACUGGCAGCCUUGAGUACAGUUGAAGUAUGCGGAAUGCGUGGUGUAGCGGUGAAAUGCUUAGAUAUCGCGAAGAACUCCGAUUGCGAAGGCAGCUUGCUAAACUGCCACUGACAUUGAUGCUCGAAAGUGUGGGUAUCAAACAGGAUUAGAUACCCUAGUAGUC
rnacentral:rRNA from 1 species